UGGGAUCCAACCAGUUGCUUGCUUGCAUGUGCUUGGAGGGAUGCACUAUCUUCAUGCUGUCGUUACCAGCAGAAAGGAUUAUCUUGUGAUCCAGCCAAUCUGAUGCUUCCAGCUUCCCAUGAUGCUUUGGAGGUUUUCGUCAUGUGAAUGGUCAUGUUAAUGGUUCUAAAGCACUUAUGGUCAAUAAGAAGAGUCUGAUGGAUAAUACAAAAUUGGAGUCAAGAACAAACGCGGUACGCUGUCCUCUCCAGAUGGAUCAAUAUAAUUCGAUGGCGAUAGAAGGAAAUUAUACUGCACUAAACGCAAAUGCAAGUACACUUACAGAUGUCCAAACAUGUAAUUCUUUGGUUCAACAAGUGAGAGGCUGGAGGUAUGGGCAAUGGCCAAAAUUUACUCGACUAGUUUGCAGUACAGUGUUGGACAACGAAGCAUCAAUCUCAUGACAAGAAGAAAGAACUGACAGUUGCAGGAGCACAAUCUGGCAGCCGUGAUUCUGACUUCGGGCGUAUCAAUCAGACUAUCAGAUGAAAUGCCAGAACAGCAGCAGCUGAAGUGGGAAGUGCUACGGAACGCAGUCUUUGACUGGCGCCCCAGACUCCCAGCCUUCAGCGUGCUCCUCUCCUCCGCCUCCGGCCUCCACUGCCGCCUUCCCAUUCAGCUGCCUGCCCAUGCCCACGUUCGCGCCCCACUUCCGUCCCUGCGUCCAUGCGUGGGCGCACGGCUUCAUUUCCGAUCGCUUCGUUCGUCGCCUGCUGCCUCGUCAGGGCGGUCGGCCGAUCCGUCCGCCUCGCGCGCAAGGUGUUCGAGGAAAUCGAUAGUCCAGGCCUGGCAUCAGGCAACGCGCUCCUCGGCGCGCUAUGCCUCACCGCGACCUGGCCCGCUGGUCGGGGAGUCGAAGAGGAUGGCGCCGAGGAACGCCGCCCGUGUGGUGAUAAACCGACGUGACGACUCAGCAUGGACAAAUGAACAUUAGAAGAAGCGUUCAGAAGCUGUCCUAAAGUCCUCUACUCAAGUGCUGUAAUUUGUAUGUUCAAGAAUGGAUAGCUCGAAGUUGAGUCCUGAUGAUCUGCUAAUCGGGUGGAUCUGUGUAUAUUGCGAUAAGGUGUCAAUGGUGUUCCGUAAGAGUAACCUGCUCUGAUGGGGUUUGUUUUUGUGGUUAGCUGCAUCUGGAGUCUCCUCAACACUUGUAGGCGUUCUGCGAUUUCCUUCAUUGUUGGCCUCUCAUCUCCUCUUGGGUUCAAACAAUGCAUGGCAAGUUCAGCUAUUUUCUCAAGUACUACCAUAAUUUGCUCAUCUAUUAUUUCACAGUCCAACAUAUCCUGGAGCUUAUUCUGUUGGAAUAUUAAUAUGAAAGUAUGGGAAAGUGAUUUCUUUUCAUUAAGGUUAUCGAUGUAUAUUGCCCUUUUC